GGCGGCAUGCCUAAUACAUGCAAGUCGAACGGUAACAGGUCGCUGUGAUCCCUUCGGGGUGAACUUGAUGCUGACGAGUGGCGGACGGGUGAGUAAUGCUUGGGAUCUGCCCAGUAGUGGGGGACAACACGGGGAAACUCGUGCUAAUACCNCAUACGUCCCCUUGUUUGAUUACGAGGGGAGAAAGUGGGGGAUCUUCGGACCUCACGCUAUUGGAUGAGCCCAAGUCGGAUUAGCUUGUUGGUGGGGUAACGGCUUACCAAGGCGACGAUCCGUAGCUGGUCUGAGAGGACGAUCAGCCACACUGGGACUGAGACACGGCCCAGACCCCUACGGGAGGCAGCAGUAGGGAAUAUUGGACAAUGGGCGCAAGCCUGAUCCAGCAAUGCCGCGUGUGUGAAGAAGGCCUGCGGGUUGUAAAGCACUUUCAGUAGAGAAGAAAAGCCUCGGGUUAAUACCCCGGAGUCUUGACGUAACCUACAGAAGAAGCACCGGCUAACUCCGUG
rnacentral:rRNA from 1 species